rnacentral:rRNA from 1 species
UACAGAGACUGCAAGCGUUAUUCGGAUUCACUGGGCGUAAAGGGUGCGCAGGUGGCCGUGUGUGUGAGGCGUGAAAGCCCGGGGCUUAACCCCGGAAUUGCACCUCAAACUACAUGGCUAGAGCAUUGGAGAGGGUAGCGGAAUUCACGGUGUAGCAGUGAAAUGCGUAGAUAUUGUGAGGAACACCAGAGGCGAAGGCGGCUACCUGGACGAUUGCGGACACUCAGGCACGAAAGCGUGGGGAGCAAAAGGG